AUUGAACGCUGGCGGCAUGCCUUACACAUGCAAGUCGAACGGCAGCGGACCUUCGGGUGCCGGCGAGUGGCGAACGGGUGAGUAAUAUAUCGGAACGUACCUUUCAGUGGGGGAUAACGUAGCGAAAGUUACGCUAAUACCGCACAUUCUGUGAGCAGGAAAGCAGGGGAUCGCAAGACCUUGCGCUGAUUGAGCGGCCGAUAUCAGAUUAGCUAGUUGGUGAGGUAAAGGCUCACCAAGGCGACGAUCUGUAGCGGGUCUGAGAGGAUGAUCCGCCACACUGGAACUGAGACACGGUCCAGACUCCUACGGGAGGCAGCAGUGGGGAAUUUUGGACAAUGGGCGCAAGCCUGAUCCAGCCAUGCCGCGUGAGUGAAGAAGGCCU
rnacentral:rRNA from 1 species